AUACCUUUCUCAGCCUUUUAGCUAAGAUCAAGUGUAGUAUCUAUUUUUCUUAGUUUAGUAUUUGAUACGUGAGCUAUUAGCUCACACGAUAUUAUAUUUAUUUUUUGAGGGUAGGGCUAUCUUGGUAGCUUGCUACUAGGGUCUUCAAGUAUUGUCGCCCAUGCAUUGCACUAUUGCACGGGCCUGACACAACCCAU